rnacentral:rRNA from 1 species
UACGGAGGGUGCAAGCGUUAUCCGGAUUUACUGGGUUUAAAGGGUACGCAGGCGGUAAUAUAAGUCAGUGGUGAAAGCUUCCAGCUCAACUGGAAAACUGCCAUUGAUACUGUAUUACUUGAAUUUGGGAGAGGUAGGCGGAAUACAUCAUGUAGCGGUGAAAUGCUUAGAUAUGAUGUAGAACACCGAUUGCGAAGGCA